rnacentral:rRNA from 1 species
AUGGAUGUGGAGCACCAGCGCUGGAUCUGGGCGGCGGAGGCAUGGAUGUGGAGCGGCACCCGAGCGGCGGAUCUGGAGCAAUGCCGGAGCAGUGGAGCGGCGGAUCUGGAGCAGAGUCUUCGUCCUCACGGUGCCCACGUCGUCGUCUUCGCCGGAGUAGCUGCUUCCUCCCCUGCCCAACUUGUAGUUUCAGUUAAACUUGGUAAUACAGCUCCCAAGCAGGGCCGCGUUAGCGGGGCUGUUCGAUUUGUAGAUGGUCGACGGGUGCAUGUCAUAGAGAGAGACCUGACAGAGCCUGAUAGAAUUGUGGGUGAAUUGUUACAACCUGGAGGCUACCUGAAAUUGAUGGAAUUGGGUCUGCAGGCUUAA